UAGAAUUUGGAACCUCUUAUAUAAAAUGAAUCUACUGAAAACGUGUUUCCUUCACCAGAACAGAAAUGUUGAAGAAGUUAGAAUAAUCAUCAAAAAUUUUGGUCAUCUCCUGAUGAUGAUGCUAAUCUGAUUAGCAAAACAAAUGUCGAAAAAUUGCAUUUUUGUUCCAAUGAGGAAAAAGUGUUUGAUAUAAAUAAAAACACAUAUUUGCCAUUAAAGCUACUAUGAAAAUAUUCUGUGUGUUACCAUAGUAUUUCACAUCCCACAUAACAUCAUAAACAUUAACCAAAGGAAAUGAAAGAAAUUUGAAACCAAAAUCAAACAAACCCAAAUCUCUGCAUUAUGAAAUUUUUUUUCUUUUGAAACCCAUAGUAAACUUCUUUCAGGCAUGAAUUACUUAAUUGAUGAGCCUUAAGAACUGGACGUGAAGUGGAUGUGUCACACAGUAAUUUGGAAUUCCAAACUAAAUACAAAAUUUUUUGUCAAGUAUUUUUAUUUGUUUUUCAAUAUGUAUUAAUAUACUGUUUAAUAGAUUCAGCUCCUCAA